rnacentral:rRNA from 1 species
CCUACGGGAGGCAGCAGUGAGGAAUAUUGGUCAAUGGGCGCGAGCCUGAACCAGCCAAGUAGCGUGAAGGAUGACUGCCCUACGGGUUGUAAACUUCUUUUAUAAAGGAAUAAAGUGAGGCACGUGUGCCUUUUUGUAUGUACUUUAUGAAUAAGGAUCGGCUAACUCCGUGCCAGCAGCCGCGGUAAUACGGAGGAUCCGAGCGUUAUCCGGAUUUAUUGGGUUUAAAGGGAGCGUCGAUGGGUUGUUAAGUCAGUUGUGAAAGUUUGCGGCUCAACCGUAAAAUUGCAAUUGAUACUGGCAGCCUUGCGUCCAGUUGCGGUCGGCGGCAUUCGUGGUGUCGCGGUGCAAUGCUUCGCUCUCACGCAGUACUCCGAUUGCGCAUGCAGCCUACUCAACUGCCACUGCCAUUGCUGCUCUCAAGUGUGGGUCUCAAACAUGCUUCGCUCCCCCUAGUAGUC